AUUGAACGCUGGCGGCAGGCCUAACCCAUGCAAGUCGAACGAGUGGCGGACGGGUGAGUAAUGUCUGGGAAACUGCCUGAUGGAGGGGGAUAACUACUGGAAACGGUAGCUAAUACCGCAUACCAUCGGAUGUGCCCAGAUGGGAUUGGCUAGUGGGUGGGGUAACGGCUCACCUAGGCGACGAUCCCUAGCUGGUCUGAGAGGAUGACCAGCAACACUGGAACGGAGACACGGUCCAGACUCCUAAGGGAGGAAGCAGUGGGGAAUAUUGCACAAGGGGCGCAAGCCUGAUGCAGCCAUGCAGCGUGUAUGAAGAAGGCCUUCGGGUUGUAAAGUACUUGCAGCGGGGAGGCGUUACCCGAAGAAGAAGCACCGGCUAACUCCGUGCCAGCCGCCGCGGUAAUAC
rnacentral:rRNA from 1 species